rnacentral:rRNA from 1 species
UACGGGGGGGGCAAGCGUUGUUCGGAAUUACUGGGCGUAAAGGGCUCGUAGGCGGCCAACUAAGUCAGACGUGAAAUCCCUCGGCUUAACCGGGGAACUGCGUCUGAUACUGGAUGGCUUGAGUUUGGGAGAGGGAUGCGGAAUUCCAGGUGUAGCGGUGAAAUGCGUAGAUAUCUGGAGGAACACCGGUGGCGAAGGCGGCAUCCUGGACCAACACUGACGCUGAUGGGCGAAAGCCAGGGGAGCAAACGGG